ACUCCUACGGGAGGCAGCAGUGGGGAAUAUUGCACAAUGGGCGCAAGCCUGAUGCAGCCAUGCCGCGUGUAUGAAGAAGGCCUUCGGGUUGUAAAGUACUUUCAGCAGUGAGGAAGGCGGAGUCGUUAAUAGCGGCCUCGUUUGACGUUAGCUGCAGAAGAAGCACCGGCUAACUCCGUGCCAGCAGCCGCGGUAAUACGGAGGGUGCGAGCGUUAAUCGGAAUUACUGGGCGUAAAGCGCAUGCAGGUGGUUCGUUAAGUCAGAUGUGAAAGCCCGGGGCUCAACCUCGGAAUUGCAUUUGAAACUGGCAGACUAGAGUACUGUAGAGGGGGGUAGAAUUUCAGGUGUAGCGGUGAAAUGCGUAGAGAUCUGAAGGAAUACCGGUGGCGAAGGCGGCCCCCUGGACAGAUACUGACACUCAGAUGCGAAAGCGUGGGGAGCAAACAGGAUUAGAUACCCUGGUAGCACAGAG
rnacentral:rRNA from 1 species